rnacentral:rRNA from 1 species
GACAGAGGUCCCGAGCGUUAGGCGGAAUCACUGGGCUUAAAGCGUGUGUAGGCGGACUUCUAAGUACCUUGUGAAAUCCCACGGCUUAACCGUGGAACUGCUUGGUAUACUGGUUGUCUUGGGCCACUUAGGGGCUACCGGAACAAACGGUGGAGCGGUGAAAUGCGUAGAUAUCGUUUGGAACGCCAAUGGUGAAAACAGGUAGCUGGGAGUGUGCCGACGCUGAGACACGAAAGCGUGGGGAGCAAACAGG